AUAGAAGGUGGGUGUUGGAGCUCUGGGACCCCAACACAUCUCUAUCUGAGGAUACUUCGCUGGCUUGAGCAACACCUGUUGGAGGAAAUUCCUAACUACAGUGCCUCCAGAAAGUUUAUUGAGUACUUAUAUCUGAAAUAAAAUUGCUGCCAGAAUUUAAACUAAUGUGGAUUUGAUUACUCAGAGCAGCAGAGCAGAAGUGCCAGGCGUUAACAUACUGCCUGCUGUGAGUAUGGUGCAUAUGUUCUG
rnacentral:lncRNA from 1 species